UACGGGGGGGGGCAAGCGUUGUCCGGAAUUAUUGGGCGUAAAGGGCUCGUAGGCGGUCUGUCACGUCGGGAGUGAAAACUCAGGGCUUAACCCUGAGCCUGCUUCCGAUACGGGCAGACUAGAGGUAUGCAGGGGAGAACGGAAUUCCUGGUGUAGCGGUGAAAUGCGCAGAUAUCAGGAGGAACACCGGUGGCGAAGGCGGGUCUCGUGGGCCGAUGACUGACGCUGAGGAGCGAAAGCGUGGGGAGCGAACAGG
rnacentral:rRNA from 1 species